GUCUACAGUCAUACCACCAUGAAUGCACCCAAUCUUGUCUGAUCUUGGAAGCUAAGCAGCAUUCGGCCUGGUUAGUACUUGGAUGGGAGAGUAUUGCCUGCCACCUGGCAAUACUGGGUACUGUAGGCU
rnacentral:rRNA from 1 species